rnacentral:rRNA from 1 species
GAUGAACGCUAGCUACAGGCUUAACACAUGCAAGUCGAGGGGCAGCGGGAUUGAAGCUUGCUUCAAUUGCCGGCGACCGGCGCACGGGUGAGUAACGCGUAUCCAACCUUCCGCUUACUCGGGGAUAGCCUUUCGAAAGAAAGAUUAAUACAAGAUGGCAUCAUGAGUCCGCAUGUUCACAUGAUUAAAGGUAUUCCGGUAGACGAUGGGGAUGCGUUCCAUUAGAUAGUAGGCGGGGUAACGGCCCACCUAGUCUUCGAUGGAUAGGGGUUCUGAGAGGAAGGUCCCCCACAUUGGAACUGAGACACGGUCCAA